rnacentral:rRNA from 1 species
CAAUAGCGUAUAUUAAAGUUGUUGCAGUUAAAAAGUUCGUAGUUGGACCUUGGACCUGGACAGGCGGUCCGCCUCACGGCGUGUACUGUCUUGCUGGGUCUUUCCUCUUGGUGAUCUGUUGUUUCGGCAGCAGGGAACCAGGACUUUUACUUUGAAAAAAUUAGAGUGUUCAAAGCAGGCUCGACGCCGGAAUAUAUUAGCAUGGAAUAAUAAAAUAGGACGUGCGGUUCUAUUUUGUUGGUUUUUGGAAUCGCCGUAAUGAUUAAUAGGGACAGUCGGGGGCAUUAGUACUCACAUGCUAGAGGUGAAAUUCUUGGAUUUUGUGAAGACUAACUUCUGCGAAAGCAUUUGCCAAGGAUGUUUUCAUUAA